UGAGUGGGCCAGUUCUGCUCCUCCAGUAUUUAAACACCUCACCAGGUCCCUAGUUAGCAGCUUCCUUCAGCUCAUCCAAGAAGCUGACAAGUACUGUUAGAGGAGGCUGUACAUGUUGCUCUAAUGGACCUCAUUAAGUUCUACUUACAGAUGUUCUCUUAACAUAAUUGAUCUGCGAUGAAAACUUUAAGGAACAAUGAAGGAGAGAGGUACUGCUCUGAAACGGAUUGAAAUGUGGAGCUGCAGCGAGCUGUUUGCCAGAGAUUUGAAAGCUACAGUAGAAAAAGCCCAAGGCCAUCAGACAAACAAAAAAAGUUUGGGAGAGCGUGCAUCUUGAAACUAAUAACACCUCCUACCCCCUGUGGUGUGCUGGUCCCCUGUCUCUCCCCAUCCUUGCUUUCAGCUUGUGGUCCUGAAACUGCACACGGGGGUUUUGUGGCACACUUUAACCCCUUGCCAAGUAAGACACCACACCCACAAGCACCAUGUUCCUUGGCAGGGUCCCUGCAGCCAUUUUGUGGGGACCGUUUUCUCCUCUCAGUGUGCUGCAAAGAACUGCCUCUGAGGGCAGGCUGGUAAAGAGAUUUUGUUGCUAAAUGUUUUGUGCUACAUUGGAUAAGGAAGACAGGCAUGAAAACAGUGAUAUGUCCAGCAGAAGAGGCUGUCAGUUAAAAAAACACAGGCCCUUCCAAGGCGGCGAUGGGCCUCAUCUUUUAGCUUCAAGCGGGCCUGCUUGCAGGCACCGGGGCAGCAGCUCAGGCCUGGCUUGCUGGGCAACUUCAGCAAGGCCUUGUGGGGUGUCAGUGCUGCAGUCAGCACCUGCAUUGAUCUGGGGGUCCAGAUCUACCCUUCCUGAGGUGAGCAAUCCUCCCUCACAGACUGCUAACAGUGAGGUCAGUUGGACUGUUUGUCCAGGGGAGGAUUACUUGCACGAGUGAGGCUCGCAUGGCAGCAACAUUAAAUCAACACGGCAGCAGUAUUUCCUUGCUCUGGCUACUGAGCAAUGACUUUCACACACCUCUCACCCUCACACUUCCUCAGGAAAGGAACUUACUCACAGAAAUAAACGGUUGUGGAUGCAAGCUUUAUUGUUGUUAAAGAGUGCAUCCAUGUAAAACUAGCUUUUGUGCUUGUAACAGAUUGUAUGUACAGCACACUGAGUGAUAAAUAGUCAUGU